rnacentral:lncRNA from 1 species
GAGAUAAGGAGGGAAUUUGGAACUGGACUGUUUAUCUGUGAUUUUUUUUUUUUUUGAUUGUGUCCAGGGAGCCUGUAAAACUGGGGAUCUUGUGUCACAUACUAUCAAGGUCAGACGAGCAGGUUGUGAAGGAAGGACUAAUGGAAAACAUGCAGGUGCCCAAAGACAAGGAUUUAUCGCAUCACUGGAUGUAAAAUAGACAGAAUGAACAGAAAAUUAUUCAUAGGUAAGAAGAGCGUUUCUGAGCAUGUGUUAUAUAAGGCCAUCCAAACUCUGUAAGCUGAG